AACGAACGCUGGCGGCAUGCCUAACACAUGCAAGUCGAACGAGAUCUUCGGGUCUAGUGGCGCACGGGUGCGUAACGCGUGGGAAUCUGCCCUUUGGUUCGGAAUAACAGUUGGAAACGACUGCUAAUACCGGAUGAUGACGAAAGUCCAAAGAUUUAUCGCCAGAGGAUGAGCCCGCGUAGGAUUAGCUAGUUGGUGUGGUAAAGGCGCACCAAGGCGACGAUCCUUAGCUUGUCUGAGAGGAUGAUCAGCCACACUGGGACUGAGACACGGACCAGACUCCUACGGGAGGCAGCAGUGGGGAAUAUUGGACAAUGGGCGAAAGCCUGAUCCAGCAAUGCCGCGUGAGUGAUGAAGGCCUUAGGGUUGUAAAGCUCUUUUACCCGGGAUGAUAAUGACAGUACCGGGAGAAUAAGCUCCGGCUAACUCCGUGCCAGCCGCCGCAGUAA
rnacentral:rRNA from 1 species